AUACGAAAGGUGCAAGCGUUGUUCGGAUUUACUGGGCGUAAAGAGAGUGUAGGUGGUUUAUUAAGUCGGAUGUGAAAUCCCGGGGCUCAACCUCGGAACUGCAUUCGAUACUGAUAGGCUAGAGUUUGGGAGGGGUAAGCGGAAUUCCGUGUGUAGCAGUGAAAUGCGUAGAUAUACGGAGGAACACCUGAGGCGAAGGCGGCUUACUGGACCAAUACUGACACUGAGACUCGAAAGCGUGGGUAGCAAGCAGGAUUAGAAACCCGAGUAGUCC
rnacentral:rRNA from 1 species